CGUAAGUAACUUACCCUAGAGUGGGGAAUAACACAGAGAAAUCUGUGCUAAUACCGCAUACGAUUUAUUGAUUAUUUCUAUAAAUGAAAGAUUUAUCGCUCUUGGAUGGGCUUGCGUCCUAUCAGGUUGUUGGCGGGGUAAUGGCCCACCAAGCCUAAGACGGGUAGCUGGUGUGAGAGCACGACCAGCCAGAGGGGGACUGAGACACGGCCCCCACUCCUACGGGAGGCAGCAGCUAAGAAUAUUGCACAAUGGACGAAAGUCUGAUGCAGCGACACCGCGUGAGGGAUGAAGGUUUUAGGAUCGUAAACCUCUUUUAUUAGGGAAUAGCAAGGAAGGUACCUAAUGAAUAAGGUACGGCUAACUACGUGCCAGCAGCCGCGGUAAUACGUAGGUACCGAACGUUGUCCGGAAUCACUGGGCGUAAAGGGUCCGUAGGCGGUUUGAUAAGUCUCAUAUGAAAACUUCAAGCUUAACUUGGAGAGGUUGUGAGAUACUGUCAAACUAGAGACUGUUAGAGGUAAGUGGAAUUCCAGGUGUAGUGGUGAAAUGCGUAGAUAUCUGGAGGAACACCAGUGGCGAAAGCGACUUACUGGGACAGUUCUGACGCUAAGGGACGAAAGCGUGGGGAGCGAACCGGAUUAGAUACCCGGGUAGUCCACGCCGUAAACGAUGAUUGCUAGGUUUUCGGGGCAUCGACCCCUCGUGAGCCGAAGUUAACGCGUUAAGCAAUCCGCCUGAGUAGUACGGCCGCAAGGCUAAAACUCAAAGAAAUUGACGGGGGACCGCACAAGCAGCGGAGCGUGUGGUUUAAUUCGAUGGUAAGCGAAGAACCUUACCAGGGUUUGACAUGUAAGUAGUACUGAACCGAAAGGGGAUGGACCCGCAAGGGAGCUUACACAGGUGUUGCAUGGUUGUCGUCAGCUCGUGCCGUGAGGUGUUGGGUUAAGUCCCGCAACGAGCGCAACCCUCAUCGUUAGUUACUAUGUCUAGCGAGACUGCCUCUAAAAAAGAGGAGGAAGGUGGGGAUGACGUCA
rnacentral:rRNA from 1 species